rnacentral:lncRNA from 1 species
GGCAGUCCGUAUGGUCCAGCUCAUAGAGCUUGCGAUCUCAUUUAGUAAUCAAGUAGAUGAUCUCCUAGAGAUUUCCAACAUUCCAUUUAGUCCUACUACCCAAAGUUUCACGAGUAAGGCUAUUAUAUGAGGUAAAAUGUUUGCAUUCAUGCAAGUUACAAAUUUAUCUCAGUUCAUGCAUCAUACAUCAGUUACAGAUUCAGAUAUUAAGUCAUUAUUUAGCUCGUAAGUGUUUCUAACUU